GAUGAACGCUGGCGGCGUGCCUAAUACAUGCAAGUCGAACGAACUGCUUUUUCCUUGGUUCUAUGACGUUAACGGCGGACGGGUGAGUAACACGAGGGCACCCUGCCUGUAAGACUGGGAUAACUUCGAGAAAUAAUACCUAAUACCGGAUAGGAUCUUCUCCUUCAUGGGAAAUGAUUGAAAAAUGGUUUCGGCUAUCACUUACAGAUGGGCCCGCGGUGCAUUAUAUUGUUGGUGAGGUAACGGCUCACCAAGGCAACGAUGCAUAGCCGACCUGAAAGGGGGAUCUGACACACUGGCACUGAUACACCGGCAAGACUCCUACGGGAGGAUUGAGUAGGGAAUCUUCCCCAGUGUACGAAAGUCUGACGGAACAACGCCGCGUGAGUGAUGAAGGCUUUCUUUUCUGAAAAAUCAGUUGUUAGGGAAGAACAGAUACAAUUCUAGCUGCUCGUACCUUGACGGUACCUAACCAAAAAGCCGCAGCUAACUACUUGCCAUCAGCCGCGGUAAUACCUAAGGGGCGUGCGUUAUCCGGAAUUAUUGGACGUCUCCCGCGUGCAGGGGGUUUCUUAAUUCUGAUGUGAAAGCCCACGGCACAGCCGAGGAGGGUCAUUGUAAACUGGUGAACUUGAAUGGAGAAGAGAAAAGCGGAAUUCCCCGUGUAGCGAUCAAAUGUCUGGAUAUGUGCAGAAACACC
rnacentral:rRNA from 1 species